rnacentral:rRNA from 1 species
AGUGAACGCUGGCGGUAGGCCUAACAAAUGCGAGUCGAACGGCAGCACAGUAAGAGUUUGCUCUUACGGGUGGCGAGUGGCGGACGGGUGAGGAAUACAUCGGAAUCUACUUUUUCGUGGGGGAUAACGUAGGGAAACUUACGCUAAUACCGCAUACGACCUACGGGUGAAAGCAGGGGCUUUUCGGACUUUGCGCGAUUGAAUGAGCCGAUGUCGGAUUAGCUAGUUGGCGGGGUAAAGGCCCACCAAGGCGACGAUCCGUAGCUGGUCUGAGAGGAUGGUCAGCCACACUGGAACUGAGACACGGUCCAGACUCCUACGGGAGGCAGCAGUGGGGAAUAUUGGACAAUGGGCGCAAGCCUGAUCCAGCCAUACCGCGUGGGUGAAGAAGGCCUUCGGGUUGUAAAGCCCUUUUGUUGGGAAAGAAAAGCAGCAGGUUAAUACCCCGCUGUUCUGACGGUACCCAAAGAAUAAGCACCGGCUAACUUCGUG